rnacentral:hammerhead_ribozyme from 2 species
GCCAUGCUGACGAGUCCAAAUAAGGACGAAACAGCUGUCCAUGGU